GGAGACUCAUUGAUCCACCUGGACUGUCCUCAAAGGUUAAAAAGACUAUGCACUCAUCAUCAGCACCAGGGAACUUCGCACAUCUUUUCCGGUCUCACGGCUAAACUAUUCACAGGUGGUUGGCAUAAUAACAUCUCUCCGUGCAAGAAAACCAAAGGGAACGGGAUGGAUGCAGUGACGGGAGCAAGCUGGCAGUUCGUUUGAGGGAGCAGCGGGGCUCCACCACCCGUCCGGUGCAAAGCCUGCAAAAACUGAACAUGAGAAAGAUUCACAACUCAUUCUCAACGUUGCCAUCCAAAGUCUUCGACCUCACGAAGAAGGGCAGAUCCCUUUGCACACAAAAAGAAAAGCACAAAUAGCACUGAAAUUCCUAGAAACAAGGUUCCCUCUUGUAUUUGUUGCUUUUGUUUGCUUUGUUUUAAGGUUGUGAGCAGAUGGCUUGGCUACAUCAGUAACAAAAGACAUCAGAGCUGACUAGGAAAAAGAGCUGGGGAGGCAAGAGGGGAGGGAGGCUGAGCUAACAGCCCCCACGCUAUGUCUCUCUAGGGCACUAUUCCUGCAAAUAUAGUCUCCUUCCCACCCGCACCGAGCCACCUGGAGGAGAGGCUGUAAACAGAGAGCUUUCUGGACUGCAUCCCAGAGAGAACAUCUGGACCACGAAUCUUGUUCCACUUGCGCUUUGAACCAAGAUCCUCAAAUGAUUUCUUAUGGAUAAACAUGACCUGUGAAAUGAGAGGGAAGCUACCCUUUGGGAAGCAAAAUGACCAGAAUCCAGACCCGAGGGACAGGAAGGAAAUCUUGUUAGCGUUGGAAGCUAGAGUCUGAGCAACACGAGGAGCCAGAGGAGCCAGAGGAGUAAGUGGAGCCCCUGGGAGGGAACCUGAGACUUCCCUCUGAGAAGCUCCCACAACCCCAGUGCCAUCUUGAGCCGGUGGUUGUAGCUGCAAGCA